rnacentral:rRNA from 1 species
UACGUAGGGUGCGAGCGUUGUCCGGAAUUAUUGGGCGUAAAGGGCUCGUAGGCGGUUUGUCGCGUCGGGAGUGAAAACCUCGGGCUUAACUCGGGGCUUGCUUUCGAUACGGGCAGACUAGAGGUAUGCAGUGGAGAACGGAAUUCCUGGUGUAGCGGUGAAAUGCGCAGAUAUCAGGAGGAACACCGGUGGCGAAGGCGGUUCUCUGGGCAUGAUCUGACGCUGAGGAGCGAAAGUGUGGGGAGCGAACAGG